rnacentral:ncRNA from 2 species
GUUACGGGGCGGUUAGGAGACGGGUUCUGAAACCUGGGAUGCGCAAGGAAGCUGACGAGCGGGAGGCCCUCACGGGCCGCACCGCUGGCCGACCCUGAUCUUCUGUGAAGGGUUCGAGUUGGAGCACGCCUGUCGGGACCCGAAAGAUGGUGAACUAUGCCUGAGCGGGGCGAAGCCAGAGAAAACUCUGGUGGAGGCUCGAAGAGAUACUGACGUGCAAAUCGUUCGUCUGACUUGGGUAUAGGGGCGAAAGACUAAUCGAACCAUCUAGUAGCUGG